GUGCAAACUCGAUCACUAGCUGUGCAUGAUGUGGCAGCAGCUAAGGGAACCAGGUUUGCUAGAGUAAUUGUGGUGAUAGCAAUGUACCAACCUCAGAAGCUACUGAGGUGCCCAUUCUGUCCCAGUACAGUC